rnacentral:rRNA from 1 species
UGGAAACGGCGUCUAAUACCGGAUACGAGCUGCGACCGCAUGGUCAGCAGCUGGAAAGAAUUUCGGUCAGGGAUGAGCUCGCGGCCUAUCAGCUUGUUGGUGAGGUAAUGGCUCACCAAGGCGUCGACGGGUAGCCGGCCUGAGAGGGUGACCGGCCACACUGGGACUGAGACACGGCCCAGACUCCUACGGGAGGCAGCAGUGGGGAAUAUUGCACAAUGGGCGAAAGCCUGAUGCAGCAACGCCGCGUGAGGGAUGACGGCCUUCGGGUUGUAAACCUCUUUUAGCAGGGAAGAAGCGAAAGUGACGGUACCUGCAGAAAAAGCGCCGGCUAACUACGUGCCAGCAGCCGCGGUAAUACGUAGGGCGCAAGCGUUAUCCGGAAUUAUUGGGCGUAAAGAGCUCGUAGGCGGUCUGUCGCGUCUGCUGUGAAAACCCGAGGCUCAACCUCGGGGCCUGCA